AGUGGGCGGCGACGCCGGCAGCUGGGACGAGGAGGGCCUCCUGGUCACCCUUCUGGGGGCCCGUACUGUCAUGCCUCAGAGCUGGCAAGUCGUCCCAGGGAAGACAACGGCCUUCCUGGAGGGAGGGAACCUUGUGGUUAGGCGCAUGGGGUGCGAAGCAGGUAUGUGCUCACCUCCGGCUGUGUUUGCCUUGCGUGCUGCGGCUCAUGGUGCUGGUAUUGAGCCUCUGGGAACCUCAGCUGCCUCGUUGGCAAAAUGGGGGCUGUGGCAUCUGUUUCAGGGGUGUCCGUGAGAAUUAAAUGUUAAUUUCACAUAAAAUUCUAACACACAUGGCCCAUGGCCCGUAACACACAGUGAUAAACUUCCAAUCAACGUUGUUGCUGCUGUCGUGAGAGGUAAGGAGCCACAAUGUACCUGAGUGCUAGGUACCUGAGUGCUAGGUGACCUGCAAGUGCAUGUGGAGUUGGGUAGGCGAACGCCCUGGCCCUAGAGUUUGUGCCUUCAGAUCUGAGGUGUGAGGGGAGAUCUGAUUUUUUUUUUUUUUUUUUUUUUACUUCCUAAACUACACCGUGUGUGUGUGUGUGUGUGUGUUUGUGUGUGUGUGGCAGAGUUUCGCUCUUGUUGCCCAGGCUGGAGUGCAAUGGCACGAUCUCGGCUCAUCGCAACCUCUGCCUCCCGGGUUCAAGCGAUUCUCCUGCCUCAGCCUCCCGAGUAGCUGGGAUUACAGGCAUGCACCACCACGCCUGGCUAAUUUUGUAUUUUUAGCAGAGACGGGGUUUCCCCAUGUUGGUCAGGCUGGUUUCGAACUCCCAACCUCAGGUGAUCCGCCCGCCUCGGCCUCCCAAAGUGCUGGGAUUGCAGGCGUGAGCCACCGCGCCCGACCUCCACCUUUUAAUUUUCUUGUGAACCAGACUGUCUUGAAAGAUUCAGGAACUUCUAAGAUGCAGUCACAUCUGUGAUUAUCUUGCAGGCAGCACGGAAACAGAACCCUAACACAAAGCCACAUUGCAAUGGAUGAAUUAGCCUGCUGACCACUCACGCAAAGGUUUUCAGAAGGGAGGAGUUUGCAUGUUCAUAAAGGGCUUUAGGGUCUGGUAGACAUAUACGUGUGUUUGGGGAGGAAGGGCACUUAGUGAAAAUUUGCCAAAAGCAAAACAAUGAGAACUAGGCUUGAGGUGCAGGUUGCUCAGAGCUCAAAGUAGGCAUGUAGUAGGUAUUGCUGGAUACAGUGUAUUUGGAGCUUGUUGAACAUAUCAAAUCCCCUUAUGUGAACUGGAUUUGAAGAAUUGCUUCUUCCGAAA
rnacentral:lncRNA from 1 species